rnacentral:lncRNA from 1 species
CCUUGGGACCCGCGGUUCCGGGAGUCCCUUGCUCAGGGUCCCUUUCCUGCAGUGAGGCGCCGUCCGCCUUCCCUGUGUCCCCGCAGACCCCCAUCAUGGGCAAUACCAGCAGUGAGCGCGCCGCGCUGGAGCGGCAUGGUGGCCAUAAGACGCCCCGGAGGGACAGCUCGGGGGGCACCAAGGACGGGGACAGGCCCAAGAUCCUGAUGGACAGCCCCGAAGACGCCGACCUCUUCCACUCCGAGGAAAUCAAGGACGGCAGAAGAGAAUGAGAGCAAGCAGGGGAAAUGCCAGAUGCUUAUAAAACCAUCAGAUCUCAUGAGACUCACUCACUGUCAGAGAACAGCAUGGGGAAACCGCCCCCAUGAUCGAUACCUCCACCUGGUCCUGCCCUUGACACGUGGGGAUUAUGGGGAUUACAAUUCAAGGCACCAGAGAAGGAGGAAUUCCUGGCCUGGCAGCAUGAUCUGGAAGUGAAUGAUAAAGCUCCCGCCCAGGCUCGGCCAACGGUGUUUCGAUGGACGGGGGGCGGAAAGGAAGUUUACUUAUCUGGGUCCUUCAACAACUGGAGUAAACUUCCCCUCACCAGAAGCCACAAUAACUUUGUAGCCAUCCUGGAUCUGCCGGAAGGAGAGCAUCAGUACAAGUUCUUUGUGGAUGGUCAGUGGACGCACGACCCUUCCGAGCCCAUAGUAACCAGCCAGCUUGGCACAGUUAACAACAUCAUUCAAGUGAAGAAAACUGACUUUGAAGUAUUUGAUGCUUUAAUGGUGGAUUCCCAAAAGUGCUCCGAUGUGUCUGGUAUGAACACAGUUAUUUUAUACCACAUGCGUGCAGGUGGGGGCUGUACAGUCUAGACAUACUCUUGUUUCUCUUGCCUCUCUUGAGCUGAAGCUGCCCAGUCAGAUAGGCAUUUAUAGCCCCCACUUAAAGGCCACAGAACUUAAUUCCUGUCAGGUUGUUGAAAUUUAGCCCUAAGGGAGCUACAAGUCAUUUCCCUGGUCAUCUCAGGUAUUCAGUAGGUCUGCUUGGCCACAGAACGCAGACAGCAGAAAUGGAACCAUAGCUUGAUCUCGUGCCAAGGGCAGGGCUGAAGAGGCCCUGGAGGGUGGCACUGAGUCAGUGACAGCCCAGCACUGGGGAAGCCUGUGUCUCAUCCCACUUGUGGUGCCUGAAGAAUUUCAGCCUGACAGGUGUAAAUGGACACCUCAGUGACCUUAGCAGUCACUUAUGUGGUACAUUAGCACCUUGUCAGAAUCCCUUUGGGGAGGAUGCGGCUCCCCACGGGAAACAGCCUGCACAGCCCAACUCUCCUUGAUGGGAAGCUAUUUGGUACAGAAAUACAGACCCAGUAAAACUUCUCCAUCUUGUAAGAGCCUUUCAGGCAUCGAGGUUUCAAUAAAUUGCUUUCCCUCCAAGCCCCACAGGAAGAAACUACCUGGAACAUGAUUCAUACAGUUCGGGGGAAGAGGGUUGCGAUCUAAAGUGUUCCCCUUCUUGGAGGCGGGGGCUUAACAAUUCCUGGACUCUGAGGGAGGCAGUGGAAAGAUGCCCUGGCAGAAUAUCUGGCGCCCUAAGAAAACAGAUUCCGUUCGUUGACAGGAGAGUUCUUCAUCAUUGUCUAGUUAGGCCUGGAAGUUCUGCCACCAGGAUUUCUUGUUACCAGUUCAGAAAUCACAGUGGUAAAAUGAUCACAAUGGGCUCACUGUGGUUGACAGUUUGUUGAGCAGGACUUGGAAAUCCGAAAUCUGUGCUUUUAUCUGGGUAAUUAGUCUUUUAGAGAUAUCAUCUAGUUUUUUUGCAGAUAGUUGAGAAUCAGGGAAUGGAGGAAGUGUGCCCAAAUAUCCUCCAAAAUAUAUAACUUACUGAUACAUGUAAUUUUAAGCCACUUACAAGCUUUUUAGUCAAAUUUCCACCUAGGGAAAGGAAACGGACCCCUCACUGAUACGAAGCUAAUUCCACGUUCUCUACAGACUUCUGUUUCGACACUUACUUCCUCAAAAUGUUAUUUACUCCUUAUGGCUCAGUUUUCUGCACUUCAUGCUUUUCUCAGUUUCUUGCUGUGAUAUGGUUGGGUCACAUAAACGGGGCUUGUCCCCUGAAAAAUGACAUUGAGGGAAUUGGCAGAGCUGGGGCAUAGCAGAUUUUCCCUGGACCAGUCCCAGGAUCUGGCGACCAGAACCAUCCCACGCGUUCUUUGGAUGAUGGCUUGGUACCUUCUGGCUGGCCAAACGUCACUAUCCAGUGUUCUAGCAUUAUGAAAUCCUGCUCUUGUAGCAGCUUCUCAGUGUAUCUGAAUAAUCCAGAUACUCAAGCAAGAGUUUGGAAGGAACUUGAGUGUAAUGGAGUUAAAGAGCCUUUAGAUAUUGGGCUUUCAAUUUUCCCCCCCAUUUUGAAAUGUGCCUCGUUUAGCCUGUUUUCUCCACGGCCUCUGUGUAAACAGACUGCCUCAUCUUCUGUUGCAUUGCGGCCGGGGGUGCCCAUAACUUGGACUUAGCUACUCAAUCCUCACUUAGCCUCCAGCUUCUUUGUGGUUUUGCCAGCCCAGCCUGAAGGGAGAAGGAAGUCUUAUUCUGCCGUGCGUGUGGGAUUAAGUUAUCGAGAAUAGCCUCCUUGUGAUCUGACGCAGACUCACUGGCUGGGCCGUGUCUUCCACCAGGGCAUCUGAGUUGACUACUGAGUUGUAUGCUAGUCACCCAGAUUCCAAAAGGGUUUUCUCCUCUCCUCUAUUCUGCACUCUUGGAACCAGUGCAUCCUUCAAGAGAAUGUAAAUCUGCAUUGAGGGAACAAGAGACAAGGAAAAUGAGAUGAUGACAACAUAAGUAAGGCUGCUCCUAGAAUGCCUGAUUUUCAAAGUAAAGUCCUGUUACCAUCUCCCAACAGAGCUGUCCAGUUCUCCCCCAGGACCCUACCAUCAGGAGCCCUACGUCUGCAAACCCGAAGAGCGCUUUCGGGCACCCCCUAUUCUCCCCCCACAUCUCCUCCAGGUCAUCCUGAACAAGGACACGGGGAUUUCCUGUGAUCCAGCUUUGCUUCCUGAGCCCAAUCACGUCAUGCUGAACCACCUAUACGCGCUGUCUAUCAAGGAUGGAGUGAUGGUGCUCAGCGCAACCCACCGGUACAAGAAGAAGUACGUCACCACCUUGUUAUACAAGCCCAUAUGAAGAGCUGGGGGCGGAUGGUGGCCCAGGAGACAGCACACCACCAGGCUCCACACGUGCAUGCUUUCCCCAAGAGGGAAUGGACUGUACAUUGCUCAUUUCACACUCUUCAGAAGACAUUUCAUACCUGCCCUGGUCCUGCUUGAAGGUUUGUCCAGGCAGAGCAGCUCCUGCAGCGCCUCGGUCUGUGACAGUCCUCCUAGCACCCCCAUGGCUUUGAGCCUCGGGGACUCAUCAAGUCCAAGAAAAGAGGGAGGGGUGGCAGAGGAUCUGCAGCCCUGGCCCCGCGGUGCAUGAGGCUGGGUGCAGUUCUAAACCUACAUUCUCGAUUUUUCUUAAGCCAAAAAUGAAUGCUAACUCCUUUGCCAGUAAAAUUCUGGGAAACAGGGACUGAGGCCACACAUCAUUUCCAGUCAUCUGUGUGUUUUUAAGGCCAGCCACUUGUCCCUGUUGAGGCCUGGCUAUGGAACUAAAUACAGUGUUGGUCUUGCCUGUCCUUCAAAAUCAACAACAGAUUGUCUCUCGGCUCCAGGGAGGUGUCAUUUCUAUAGAAAUUAGAAGCUUUCUGAUUUCUAGAUGAGGUUUUACAAUUGUUUCUUACAGUCAUGUGCACUAAGUACUCUUUUUGUAAGCAGAGGUGGCUGGCUCUGCAGCCUUAAGGCCAUUUUUUAAGUCACCACGUCUAGAAGUCACAUGAACUCUGCUCAGCAAUAAUCUGUUCUCAGAACAGACUUUUCAACCUGCUGCCGGAUUUCUCCAUUCAGCUGGAUGAUCCUCAGGACUGACCAGUUAGCUGGCAGGUUGUCCAGCUUUUUAUUCCAGUCAUAAUAGGUGACAGUGUUAACCGUGAAAACUUGAGAGGCACUCUGCCCUCUUCCCUAUAAAAUCACACAGCGUGAUUUUACAAGGUCCCGUGGCACCUUGCUCAGGACCUCUGCCCCUAGUUAGCAAGACUGCAGCAGUUGCUGUUGCUUAUUCUGAAAGGAAUGUAGAACUUGACAGCAGCCUUCUGAGUCUGGGUCAGGAAGAUGUCCUUUGGACCAAAGCAGACUUCUUUAUACGCAGCUCAGUUUCCCGGGAGUCGCCACAGAUGUACCCACUAGCCCAGGUUGCUGUGAGUCAGCGGAAGCUCCCGUUAUGCCCUUUGCUCCUGGUGGGAGAGGGAGGAGUGAGCUCCCUGGGUUCCAGUAUUUACUUGGUAUACCUGAGUUUGGGGGUACCCUUUUUUGUGACUUUUCAAAACAGUGAAUUACUGUCACCUUGAUGGACAAGUUUCAAUAAAACUUUGUAAAAAUAA